rnacentral:rRNA from 1 species
GAUGAACGCUGGCGGCGUGCCUAAUACAUGCAAGUCGAGCGAACAGAUGAGGAGCUUGCUCCUCUGACGUUAGCGGCGGACGGGUGAGUAGCACGUGGAUAACCUACCUAUAAGACUGGGAUAACUUCGGGAAACCGGAGCUAAUACCGGAUAAGAUAUUGAACCGCAUGGUUCAAUAGUGAAAGACGGUUUUGCUGUCACUUAGACAUGGAUCCGCGCCGCAUUAGCUAGUUGGUAAGGUAACGGCUUACCAAGGCAACGAUGCGUAGCCGACCUGAGAGGGUGAUCGGCCACACUGGAACUGAGACACGGUCCAGACUCCUACGGGAGGCAGCAGUAGGGAAUAUUCCGCAAUGGGCGAAAGCCUGACGGAGCAACGCCGCGUGAGUGAUGAAGGUCUUCGGAUCGUAAAACUCUGUUAUUAGGGAAGAACAAAUGUGUAAGUAACUAUGCACGUCUUGACGGUACCUAAUCAGAAAGCCACGGCUAACUACGUG